rnacentral:tRNA from 2 species
GCCCGGGUGGCGGAAUUGGCAGACGCGCCAGGUUCAGGUCCUGGUUUCCUUAACCGGAAUUGGGGGUUCGACCCCCCCCUCGGGCACCA